UUUCCGUAGGUGAACCUGCGGAAGGAUCAUUAUCGAGUUUUGACUGGGUUGUGUCUGUCCUUCCGAGGCAUGUGCACACCCUUCUCAUCCACUCUACACCUGUGCACUUACUGUGGGUAUCAGAUCGUGAAGCGUGCUCUUUUACCGCAGCUUGUGAAGCGUGUCGGUGCCUGCUUUUAUCACAAACAAUAUAAUUUAUCAGAAUGUGGAUUACGAUGUAUCGCAUCUAUAUACAACUUUCAGCAACGGAUCUCUUGGCUCUC
rnacentral:misc_RNA from 1 species